UACGUAGGGUCCGAGCGUUGUCCGGAAUUAUUGGGCGUAAAGGGCUCGUAGGCGGUUCGUCACGUCGGGAGUGAAAACUCGGAGCUUAACUCCGAGCCUGCUUCCGAUACGGGCAGACUAGAGGUAGGCAGGGGAGAGCGGAACUCCUGGUGUAGCGGUGAAAUGCGCAGAUAUCGGGAGGAACACCGGUGGCGAAGGCGGUUCUCUGGGCCUUACCUGACGCUGAGGAGCGAAAGCGUGGGGAGCGAACAGG
rnacentral:rRNA from 1 species